rnacentral:rRNA from 1 species
CAGCCCCGUAUAGGAAGCAUGAAUGGACGUAUUAAGUAGGGCGGAACACGUGAAAUUCUGUCUGAACAUGGGGGGACCACCCUCUAAGGCUAAGUACUCCUUACUGACCGAUAGUGAACCAGUACCGUGAGGGAAAGGUGAAAAGCACCCCGACGAG